AACGAACGCUGGCGGCAUGCCUAACACAUGCAAGUCGAACGAGACCUUCGGGUCUAGUGGCGCACGGGUGCGUAACGCGUGGGAACCUGCCCUUAGGUUCGGAAUAACUCCCCGAAAGGGGUGCUAAUACCGGAUAAUGUCUUCGGACCAAAGAUUUAUCGCCUUUGGAUGGGCCCGCGUUGGAUUAGCUAGUUGGUAGGGUAAAAGCCUACCAAGGCGACGAUCCAUAGCUGGUCUGAUAGGAUGAUCAGCCACACUGGGACUGAGACACGGCCCAGACUCCUACGCGAGGGAGCAGUGGGGAAUAUUGGACAAUGGGCGAAAGCCUGAUCCAGCAAUGCUGCGUGAGUGAUGAAGGCCUUAGGGUUGUAAAGCUCUUUUACCCGGGAUGAUAAUGACAGUACCGGGAGAAUAAGCUCCGGCUAACUCCGUG
rnacentral:rRNA from 1 species